rnacentral:rRNA from 1 species
UCGGGAAUUUUGGGCAAUGGGGGAAACCCUGACCCAGCAACGCCGCGUGAAGGAUGAAGUAUUUCGGUAUGUAAACUUCGAAAGAAUAGGAAGAAUAAAUGACGGUACUAUUUAUAAGGUCCGGCUAACUACGUGCCAGCAGCCGCGGUAAUACGUAGGGACCAAGCGUUGUUCGGAUUUACUGGGCGUAAAGGGCGCGUAGGCGGCAUGACAAGUCACUUGUGAAAUCUCUGGGCUUAACCCAGAACGGCCAAGUGAUACUGUCGCGCUAGAGUGCAGAAGGGGCAAUCGGAAUUCUUGGUGUAGCGGUGAAAUGCGUAGAUAUCAGGAGGAACACCUGUGGCGAAGGCGGCCACCUGGUUGGAUACUGACGCUGAGACGCGAAAGCGUGGGGAGCAAACAGGAUUAGAUACCCGNGUAGUCCCUGAGCGGGCUGGCAAGGCGCAU